CCUUUGCCGGCGACCGGCGCACGGGUGAGUAACACGUAUGCAACCUGCCCUCUUCAGGGGGACAACCUUCCGAAAGGGAGGCUAAUCCCGCGUAUAUCGGUUUCGGGCAUCCGAGAUCGAGGAAAGAUUCAUCGGAAGAGGAUGGGCAUGCGGCGCAUUAGGCAGUAGGCGGGGUAACGGCCCACCUAACCGACGAUGCGUAGGGGUUCUGAGAGGAAGGUCCCCCACACUGGUACUGAGACACGGACCAGACUCCUACGGAAGGCAGCAG
rnacentral:rRNA from 1 species